rnacentral:rRNA from 1 species
GUGGGGAAUUGUUCGCAAUGGGCGCAAGCCUGACGACGCAACGCCGCGUGGGGGAUGAAGGUCUUCGGAUCGUAAACCCCUGUCGAAUGGGACGAAAGACUCGCAACUUAAUACUAUGCGAGAGUGACGGUACCGUUAAAGGAAGCCACGGCUAACUCUGUGCCAGCAGCCGCGGUAAUACAGAGGUGGCAAGCGUUGUUCGGAAUUACUGGGCGUAAAGGGCGCGUAGGCGGCCUUCUAAGUCAGACGUGAAAUCCCCCGGCUUAACCUGGGAACUGCGUCUGAUACUGGGAGGCUUGAGUAUGGGAGAGGGAUGUAGAAUUCCAGGUGUAGCGGUGAAAUGCGUAGAUAUCUGGAGGAAUACCGGUGGCGAAGGCGGCAUCCUGGACCAUUACUGACGCUGAGGCGCGAAAGCUAGGGGAGCAAACGGGAUUAGAAACCCCGGUAGUCC